AUUAUACAUAAUGCAUGUAUUAAAGGUGUUUUGUUUAACCUGUAGAGUCAAGGGAUUAUAGUCAACAAGAAAAGGACUUCUAUAUUCUGCUGUACGCCUAUAUCAUAUGCAUGGUUUGUGGAUUUUGUGAAAUUAAGCAUCAUAUUAGGCUAGUCACAGAGAAAUGGAUAGAUGUGUGAAGGUGUACAAGUUGAAAUACCUUGAGGCCACAUCAGUAAAAAAAAAGGAACCAAAAAGGAGAAAAAACAAGGUAAUUAAAAGUUAUUGUUAUUUAUAUAGCGCCAAUGCAU